rnacentral:rRNA from 1 species
GACGAACGCUGGCGGCGUGCCUAAUACAUGCAAGUCGAACGCUUCUUUCCUCCCGAGUUCUUGCACUCAAUUGGAAAGAGGAGUGGCGUACGGGUGAGUAACACGUGUGUAACCUACCCAUCAGAGGGGGAUAACACUUUGAAACAGUUGCUAAUACCGCAUAACAGUUUAUGCCGCAUGGCAUAAGAGUGAAAGGGGCUUUCUGGUGUCGCUUAUGGAUUGACCCGCGGUGCAUUAGCUAGUUGGUGAGGUAACGGCUCACCAAGGCCACGAUGCAUAGCCGACCUGAGAGGGUGAUCGGCCACACUGGGACUGAGACACGGCCCAGACUCCUACGGGAGGCAGCAGUAGGGAAUCUUCGGCAAUGGACGAAAGUCUGACCGAGCAACGCCGCGUGAGUGAAGAAGGUGUUCGGAUCGUAAAACUCUGUUGUUAGGGAAGAAAAAGGACGUUAGUAACUGAACGUCCCCUGACGGUAUCUAAACAGAAAGCCACGGCUAACUACGUG